rnacentral:rRNA from 1 species
GACCGUGCGAAGGUAGCGUAAUCACUUGUCUUUUAAAUGAAGACCCGUAUGAAUGGCACGACGAGGGCUUAGCUGUCUCCUUCUCUUCGUCAAUGAAAUUGAUCUCCCCGUGCAGAAGCGGGGAUAAAAACAUAAGACGAGAAGACCCUAUGGAGCUUUAGACAAAAGGUAGACUACGUCAAGACCCCUAAAUCACCAGGACUAAACACAGUAUUUCCUAACCAACAUGUCUUCGGUUGGGGCGACCGCGGGGGAAAACCAAGCCCCCAUGUGGACUGGAAAAACCUUUUCCACAGCCAAGAGUUACAACUCUAAGCAACAGAAUAUCUGACCAAAACGAUCCGGCACACCGCCGAUCAACGAACCAAGUUACCCUAGGGAUAACAGCGCAAUCCCCUCCCAGAGUCCCUAUCGACAAGGGGGUUUACGACCUCGAUGUUGGAUCAGGACAUCCUAAUGGUGCAACCGCUAUUAAGGGUUCGUUUGUUCAACGAUUAAAGUCCUACGU